ensembl:lncRNA
UUAUAGUAGGUUUGGGGGUACCUGUGAAGGUUUGUUACAUAGGUAAACACAUGUCACGGGUUUGCUGUACAGGUGAUUUCAUCACCCAGGUAUUAAGCCCAGUCCCCAAUAGCAAUGUUUUCUACUUUUCUCCUUCCUCCCACCUUCUAACUUCAAAUGGACCCCAAUGUCUGUUGUUUUUCUCUUUGAGUUUCUAAGUUCUUAUCAUUUAGCUCUCACUUACAACUGAGAACACGUGGAUUUGGUUUUCUGUUCCUGUGUUAGUUUGCUAAGAAUAAUAGCCUCCAGCUUCAUUCAUGUUGCCACAAAAGACGUAAUCUCUUUUUUAUUGCUGCAUAGUAUUCCAUAAUGUAUAUGUGGCACAUUUUCUUUAUCUAGUCUGUUACUGAUAGUAUUUAGGUUGAUUCCAUGCCUUUGCGGUGGUGAAUAGGGCUGCAAUGAGCAUUUGCAUGCAUGUGUCUUUAUGCUAGAAUAAUUUCUAUUUCUCUGGGAAUAUACACAGUAAUGGGAUUGCGAGCAGAUCUAUUGAAUGGUAGUUCUGCUUUUAGCUCUUUGAGGAAUUGCCCAACUGCUUUCAACAGCAAUUGAACCAGUUUACACUCCUUCCGACAGUGUUUAAGUUCCCUUUUCUCUACAACUUCGCCAGCAUUUAUUGUUUGACUCUUUAACUAUAGCCAUUCUGACAAGUGUGAGAUGGUAUCUCAUUGUGAUUUCUUUUUUUUUUUUUUUCCAGACGGAGUCUCACUCUGUCACCAGGCUGGAGUGCAGUAGCAUGAUCUUGGCUCACUGCAACCUCUGCCUCCUGGGUUCAAGUGAUUCUCUUGCCUCAAACUCCCCAGUAGCUGGAAUUACAGGCAGGUGUUCCAUCUGUGUGCACUUUUAGCAUCCUGGGAUGCUCCCAGCGUGUUCCCUGCCACACUCCAUCAGGUUUUCUCCCCCAGACUCUGCGAGGGCAGCAGCCUUGUCUCCACUGUCGCUUCAAUACUCAGCACAUAACACAGAAGCUUACUCCAAAACAUUUACUGGGCCAACUGAGACUAAAGAUACUCAGUGGUGGAGUUACUGGAUCAGACAGAGCCAAUUGAUGAUCAGUAAUUGUGGCCAAUAAUCAGCUAGAAAUAAAGUACUUAGCAGGGCCUGAAAACGCCAAAACUCUGAGACCACUGACUUUCAAAAACUUCUGACAGCCCUGAGUGAAAUGUCCAAGCACAUUUAUCCACCAUUCAAAGACGCUUUAUUGCCUGUCCUCUGUGCAUCUCAGAAGUCUCUUUUUACCAUGUCUAUAUGCUGCAUUAGCCAUUUAUAUGAAACUCCAAGGAAUCUUAGACUAUAUAUUCAACCAUGUAUCCCUAGUACCUAGCACAGUCCUGGCAUAUAGUUUGCUACUAAACAUUUGAACAGUUGCAGAAUGAAGUAAUUAUCUUGUACCUAGGUUCCAAAUUUUAAGGUGAUUUCUCACUAAAAAUAAAGUAUUACAGUUCACAAAUAAUCCACUUCCUUUUAUUACAAAUGGGAUUGAUUUGAAUCUUAUCCUCUAAUAACAUUAUUUUCAUUUACUUCCAUCUAAAUAUAUUGUCCUAAGAGAGCACUAAGAAAGAGAGGUAAAGCUGGAGCUUGAAGAAUUGUACAUGGUCCACACUGUGGCCUGACGUGCAUCGCUCACCUGAGCUUCAUCUGUUAGGUAUGUCAGGGAAGAUAAGCAGGGUGAGAGUGGCCUCAACAGAGGACCUCAGAUCUCUGGCUUCCCCAUCUGGCAAGUACAUCUCUGUGUACAAAAUCUUCAGAGCCAGAUGACAAGAAUGGCCCAAGCAGUCCACCAGGGAACCCUGGGCCCAGUGUACGUCAAUGCAGAGCAUCAAGCACAACGUAACAGGUGUACAGUUGCCUAUUCCUGUUCAGAGAUAACUGCAUCCCACACACUGUAAAAUGAAGAAAUGCAGAGAAGCAGAUGUAACUGAAGAAGACAGCAGGAGCAACAAGGAGGGACAAAAACAACCUAGGAGGGCACCAUGCCAGAAACGUCUGGACCCCACGCUAGGCUCAGUGCCCAUUAUACUCUUGGGACCCAGUGCUUUGCCUCUUCAUCGCUUGGCAUACUUGGCAUUUUUUGUUGCUUAAAAUAAUGUUUUUAGUGUUCACCUUUCCUAGGAGACAGGCAGAUCCUGUGACGCUAUAGCUUCUGGAACGCAGUAGGUGCAUCACAAACAUCUGCUGGGUUCACACACUCUUGCUUUCUCCAACUUUCUUGUCAAGUCUUCAGUGAAAAGGAA